CGCAGGAGCCUCCCCGUACGUCAGGCGUCUUGGUGACUUCCAUAGCGCAUCCGAAAGAUCGUGAGCGGCGUAUAGUGAUGGAGUGAAGGGACGGGCGUCUCAUACUCCUGCUCCUCUCCGUGCCAGGUACAGCUGGCGCAUCGUUGGCAAGACAGGGCGGGGUGGAUGGCGGAGCUGCUGUGCGAAGGACGGCCGACGGGAGGGCAGGGAGGCGGCGGCGGCCACCUAGGACAGCAGCAAACAAGAAUUUCAUCUUGAUUAUUUA